rnacentral:rRNA from 1 species
AUGAGCCAACAAAUCCCGUCAACUGGUGUUGGUGGCUCAAGCACUGCCUCAGUAGCAGCACUUGCACCCCCUCAAGUUGUUGAUUCGGAUGACCCUGCGUGGAAGUAUUGCACUCUUCCAGAUGUGAACAAGAAGCAUUGGCAGCGAUGCAACUAUUGUGGCAAGAUAUGCACAGCUGGCAUUACAAGGAUAAAGUUUCACCUUUCACAAAUAACGAAUUGUGGUGUCUUACCAUGCAAGAAGGUUCCUAGUGAUGUCAGGUUGGAGAUGAUAGCUUUGCUCCUAAAGAGUGCUGAGCUGAAGGAAAAAAAGAUUCACAACAGGCUACUCCAUGAUAGGAUGAGUGAUCUUGUAUUUAUCAAGUUCAACUCUAGGAUGAAGCAUAAGAGAGAGAACAAGAGUAGAGACCCAAUAGAGAAGACAAUCGUUGAUGUUCUUGAGGACGAGGAUAACGAGUUCAUCACUGGAAAUGAUAAUGUUGUUGAACAUGUUGGUGAUGAAGAUCAAACUCAACAAGAGAGAGCUUCAACAUCACAAGAACAAGGGAAAAAGAAGAAGAGGCCUACUGCGCCCCCUAGAAAGAAGAGGAAGAAAAGCUUGCAAUCUCUCCUUAAUAGUGUCGAUGAGGAAGCUAUACUUUCUGCCACUUCCAAUUCUUCUACGUCGGAAUCAGAAGAUGAGUCUCCCUCGGCCCUUGCUGACUCAGAUUAA